rnacentral:rRNA from 1 species
AGUGGAUGGGGAGCAACCUAGUUGUGCGUGUGUAAAGGUAGUGCCAAGAAAAGCGGUGAUCAUGAUGAAAAUCAAUUCCCGGUACCCGAAACCGACACAGGUGGGCAAGUAGAGAAUACUAAGGGGCGCGAGGUAACUCUCUCCAAGGAACUCGGCAAAAUGACCCCGUAACUUAGGGAGAAGGGGUGCCACCGAGAGGUGGUCGCAGUGAAGAGGCCCAGGCGACUGUUUAGCAAAAACAUAGGUCUCUGCAAACUCGAAAGAGGAGGUAUAGGGGCUGACGCCUGCCCAGUGCCGGAAGGUUAAAGAAGUUGGUCAGUCUUAGGAUAAAGCUAGCGACUGAAGCCCCGGUGAACGGCGGCCGUAACUAUAACGGUCCUAAGGUAUCGAAAUUCCUUGUCGGGUAAGUUCCGACCCGCACGAAAGGCGUAACGAUCUGGGCGCUGUCUCGGAGAGAGGCUCGGCGAAAUAGGAUUGUCUGUGAAGAUACGGACUACCUGCAUUUGGACAGAAAGACCCUAUGAAGCUUUACUAUAGCUUGGAAUUGUGUUCGGGCUUCCUGUGCGCAGGAUAGGUGGGAGGCGAAGAAGGUAUUCUUGUGGGGAUACUGGAGCCAACGGUGAGAUACCACUCUCAGGAGGCUAGAAUUCUAACUUAAUUAAGGACAGUUUCAGGUGGGUAGUUUGACUGGGGCGGUCGCCUCCAAAAAGGUAACGGAGGCGUACAAAGGUUCCCUCAGACUGGUUGGAAAUCAGUCGCAGAGUGCAAAGGCAGAAGGGAGCUUGACUGCGAGAAGUACAGUUCGAGCAGGGUGGAAACACGGUCUUAGUGAUCCGACGGUGCUGUGUGGAAGGGCCGUCGUUCAACGGAUAAAAGUUACUCUAGGAUAACAGGCUGAUCUCCCCCAAGAGUUCACAUCGACGGGGAGGUUUGGCACCUCGAUGUCGGCUCAUCGCAACCUGGGCGGAAGUACGUCCCAAGGGUUGGGCUGUUCGCCCAUUAAAGCGGUACGUGAGCUGGGUUCAGAACGUCAUGAGACAGUUCGGUCCAUAUCCGAUGUAGGCGUGAGAAUAUUGAGAGGAGCCUUCCUUAGUACGAGAGGACCGGGAAGGACGCACCGCUGGUGUACCUGUUAUGAUGCCAAUUGUAAACGCAGGGUAGCCAAGUGCGGAGAGGAUAACCGCUGAAAGCAUCUAAGUGGGAAGCCCACCUCAAGAUGAGUAUUCUGGUGUAAGGUCACGGGAAGACGACCCGUAAAUAGGCACGAGGUGGAAGUGCAGAGAUGUAUGAAGCCGAAGUGUACUAAUAGACCGUCGGCUUGACC